rnacentral:lncRNA from 1 species
CCGGGGUUCGUCAGGGCGACCUGUCACCAUCAUCCUUCACCGCCGCACCCACCACUGGAAUUAACCAUGUUGCAGCUGAGCUUCAAUCAACAGCGCGCCAUCUGCUUCUUCCCCUUCGGCAACGUCGUCGUCAUCGUAGCAGCAAGCCGGCCACCACAGGUUCGGAGACGAUCGUCAUCGUAGCAGCAAGCCGAUCUUUUACCCUCCGCCGACGGUGGAACAAACAACUUAUGUUCGUCGGAGACGAUCGUCACCAACGGCUUCAUCGAUCCACAUCAAUCUCAGCUACUGCCGCGAGGCCCUUUGAUGCCACCGGCAUCAGUCUACGGCAACCUGCUCGCCAGCGCCGGUGAGGUCAACACCGAAGAAGCUUCCUGUCGACGCGUGGACAGCGAUAGCCUCAACUUUUUGACGCGUGGUUGUGUACGUGUUGAUCUUUGCAGCUGUUGUGUCAGGGCUCUAGUGUCAAAAACACCUUCGUCCAGGGUGUGUUUGUAAUAGUUCUGCAUGUUUAAUAUAUUCCUGCUUUUAUAAAAAAAA